rnacentral:rRNA from 1 species
CCAAUAGCGUAUAUUAAAGUUGUUGCAGUUAAAAAGCUCGUAGUUGAAUUUCGGGAUCAGUACGCUGGUCAUGCCUUUGGUAUGCACUGGUGUCACUGGUUUCUCCCUUCUGAAGAACCGUGAUGUCAUUAAUUUGGUGUCGCGGGGAAUCAGGACUGUUACUUUGAAAAAAUUAGAGUGUUUAAAGCAGGCUCACGCUUGAAUACAUUAGCAUGGAAUA